GCAGAUACAAACAAAUUAACAGAUACAAGCAAAUUAGCAGAUACAAACAAAUUAACAGAAUUGAAUUUGAGAAGGUCGAAAAAUAAUUAUAAUAAGAAAGCAUCAGCCAAUUUAGUUACCUCAGUAUAUGAUAAUAAACAAAAUGCAAACAGAAAUAUCGUAUCAAAUGAAUACGGUUUGUCCAACGAAAAUAAAAACAACUAUAACUCAGAUAAAAGUGAACAGAUAUACAAAAAAAAAAAUAUUAAUUCUUAUGAACCAUUUAAUACAUCAAUAAAUAAUGAAGAAGAACAAAAUAUAGACAUGAAUUUAUUACAACAAUCUAUAAAAAGUAUACAAGAACAAUGGAAACAUAAAAUGUUAGAGAGUACUAGUACUUUAUUGAAUGCUAAAAGUAAAAAGUACAAUACGCAGGGUGUUGAUUCGAAUUUUGAAAAUGGUACUAGUACGAAUGGACUUAAGGAUAGUGAACCGAAACAUAAUCGCAACAGUAUGGGUGAUAGUUCAAGCAGAAGUAUGGGCGAUAGUACAAGCAACAGUAUGGGAGAUAGUACAAGCAAUAGCAUGAGAAAUAGUACAAGCAAUAGCAUGAGAAAUAGUACAAACAAUAGUAUGAGAAAUCAUACAAACAACAGUAUGGGCGAUAGUACAAACAACAGUAUGGGCGAUAGUACAAACAACAGUAUGAGCGAUAGUACAAACAACAGUAUGGGAGAUAGUACAAACAACAAUAUGGACGAUAGUACAAGCAACAGUAUGAGAAAUAGUACAAGUAAUAGUGUGGGCAGCACUAUACCCGAAUCAAAUUAUUCAUAUAACCAUGAAAACCCAAAUAAUUCAAACUUGUUUUAUGAUUUAUCAAAAUCAAAUACGUGUUCUCAAAAUUAUAUGAAUAGUUAUAAUUUCAAUACUUCUAAUAAUAUGCAUAUAAGUAGUACCAAUUUUCCUAGCUGUAAUGGAAACCCAAACGAAUUAACAGAAAAUGGCAAUUUCCAGUCUAAUAGUGGGAUUACAAAAUUAUUAAUGAAUGAACAAUUCGUUAAUGUAGAUUUACAUAUAUCGUAUACAGAAAAUGAAAUACAAAAUAAGAUAAAAGACUUUGACAAGUACAUAAUUGAAGCUUUUGAAAGUAAAUGUAAUAGAGUUCUAAACAAAAUUGAAAACUUGCUUGCUUGUAGUU
rnacentral:lncRNA from 1 species